UUCACUUUCCUGGUAUCUUUCUAACGA
rnacentral:piRNA from 1 species